rnacentral:rRNA from 1 species
GACGAACGCUGGCGGCGUGCUUAACACAUGCAAGUCGAGCGGAAAGGCCCUUCGGGGUACUCGAGCGGCGAACGGGUGAGUAACACGUGAGUAAUCUGCCCUUGGCUUUGGGAUAACUACCGGAAACGGUGGCUAAUACCGGAUACGACAACCGUCUGCAUGGGCUGGUUGUGGAAAGUUUUUUCGGCCAGGGAUGUGCUCGCGGCCUAUCAGCUUGUUGGUGGGGUAAUGGCCUUCCAAGGCCUCGACGGGUAGCCGGCCUGAGAGGGUGACCGGCCACACUGGGACUGAGACACGGCCCAGACGCCUACGGGAGGAAGCAGUGGGGAAUAUUGGACAAUGGGCGGAAGCCUGAUCCAGCAACGCCGCGUGAGGGAUGACGGCCUUCGGGUUGUAAACCUCUUUCAGUACCGACGAAGCGCCGAUGAUGGUGGUGACGGUAGGUACAGAAGAAGCACCGGCCAACUACGUG